rnacentral:rRNA from 1 species
GAUGAACGCUGGCGGCGUGCCUAAUACAUGCAAGUCGAGCGAACGGACGAGAAGCUUGCUUCUCUGAUGUUAGCGGCGGACGGGUGAGUAACACGUGGAUAACCUACCUAUAAGACUGGGAUAACUUCGGGAAACCGGAGCUAAUACCGUAUGAUAUUUUGAACCGCAUGGUUCAAAAGUGAAAGACGGUCUUGCUGUCACUUAUAGAUGGAUCCGCGCUGCAUUAGCUAGUUGGUAAGGUAACGGCUUACCAAGGCAACGAUGCAUAGCCGACCUGAGAGGGUGAUCGGCCACACUAGAACUGAGACACGGUCCAGACUCCUACGGGAGGCAGCAGUAGGGAAUCUUCCGCAAUGGGCGAAAGCCUGACGGAGCAACGCCGCGUGAGUGAUGAAGGUCUUAGGAUCGUAAAACUCUGUUAUUAGGGAAGAACAUAUGUGUAAGUAACUGUGCACAUCUUGACGGUACCUAAUCAGAAAGCCACGGCUAACUACGUG